CAAUCUCUAGCGACUGGUUAUUCCAACCUACGCCGAUAGUAUUUAUUGGGCAUGCUCUCCAGAUAAGAAUAUACAUGUAGCGUCACCGUUUGACAUGACUUGUGGAAUAUGCCUAGCCGCGUUUUGCGAGUCCCUUAUUACAAAUAGCGCUAAAAAGUAUUAUGGUACACGAUUCAUGUACCAAUUGUAAAAUGUUUAUUUUGUCUUAAAUAUUGGAUAUCAGAAGGCCAUCUUUUCCCGGUAAGAUAACAACAUCAAUUAUGUUGAUUUAAACCGACAAAUAAAUCAUGUUUUUAAUGUCGAAGAUUUUGGAUGGUAUUGAGUUAGAGAUUUAGCUACUUUAAUGAUGAAUAUUAAAGAGAAUUACCAGUAUAUGUGGGCCUGGAUGUCGAGGGGUAUGGCCAGUCCAACUUAAACAGGGAUUUGGGGACAACUUUGUGGAUGUUAAUUGUAAUUCUGAUGAUGCAAUUUAACCAUACCUAUCAGGUGCCAAGUUGUUUAACAGUGGAUACCAGUUUGAAAGAAAAAAGAAACCCAGGUGUUGGUGGGAAGAAAUGUCCACAUAAGUCAUGGUCCCAAGCUGAAAAGAGUUACCUUUGAAAAAUUCUUCAGUGAUAAUAUAAGCAAAUUACAGUUAUCAGGUGUUGGUAAAAAGAAAUGCGAAGAAGUGAUUAAGUCUAGUCAUGGUAUUUUAUGCUCUCGUAACUGGGUACAUGUAAAAAGCCAAGUUAAGAACCUAAUAGAGAAAAAAAAAUAGUUUAGAAAGGCUUCUAUUAGAGGAAUUAAUUUCUAUUUGUUGCCAUUUAGUUUUGCAUAAUAUGAAUGCAAAUUAUUCAUAUGUUUGUUUCAAAUGUACACCAGGAGUGCUGUUUUCUUUGUUAUUCAAAUCUUUGAUUUCAUCUUCAUGGUUACUGUUAAUUCUUGAAAAAUGUUUGUUGGGUUACUAGAAAGUUGGGUUUCCAUAAGGAGAUAAACCAUAUUGUACACUUCUAUUUUCUCAUUAUCUGCCUAUAUGAUCAGGAAAAUUCAAUCAUUUUCGUAUUUGUAAAAUAGCUUCAAUUAUGGAUUAAAUCUUUAAUAAAAUACAGUUAGAUAU